AUGGCUCAGGAUGAACGCUGGCGGCGUGCCUAAUACGAUGCAAGUCGAACGAGACGGAAGGGAGCUUGCUCCUGGAUGUCGAGUGGCGAACGGGUGAGUAACACGUAGGUAACCUGCCCUUAAGCUUGGGAUACCCAGAGGAAACUUUGGCUAAUACCGGAUAACAACAGAGGAGGCAUCUCCUUUGCUUGAAAGGCCCUUCAAAGGGUCACUUAAGGAUGGACCUGCGGCGCAUUAGCUAGUUGGUGAGAUAACAGCCCACCAAGGCGAGGAUGCGUAGCCGACCUGAGAGGGUGAUCGGCCACAUUGGAACUGAGACACGGUCCAAACUCCUACGGGAGGCAGCAGUAAGGAGUUUUCGGCAAUGGGGGAAACCCUGACCGAGCAACGCCGCGUGAGUGAUGACGGCCCUAUGGGUUGUAAAGCUCUGUUGUAAGGGACGAAUGAUUCGCUUAGGAAAUGAAGCGGAUUUGACGGUACCUUACCAGAAAGCCACGGCUAACUACGUGCCAGCCGCCGC
rnacentral:rRNA from 1 species